rnacentral:rRNA from 1 species
CGUUAUAAAUAUAAGGUAACUUGCCCUCGACUUUUUCAGAACAGGUCCGAGUCAAAUAGCAAUGAUUCGAAGCACUUCUUUUUCCAUUACACUAUUUCGGAAACCUAA